UAACCACUCAAGCUCUCGCUUGGUAUUGGGGUUCGCGUCUUCGCGGCCUCUAAAAUCAGUGGCGGUGCCUGUCGGCUCUACGCGUAGUAAUACUCCUCGCGAUUGAGUCCGGUAGGUUUACUUGCCAGCAACCCCCAAUUUUUUACA
rnacentral:misc_RNA from 1 species